AACGGCUUUCCUGUUGGGCGAACCCUUAACAAGGAAAUAACUGGCUCCAAACAUCCAGGGGCGGCGGGGAGUUCACAGCAGAGCCAGCUCUGAACUCCGCAGCUUGAGCUCCCGGGUACAAUGCAGCCGGCCCCUGCGCAUGGAGCUGCCGGUGGCGGAGCUGCGGGGAGCUGCCCUUAUUUAUUUGUUCCUACCGCACGGGCUGAGACACGGGCUGUGUUUUAUGUUCCUCUGCAGGAAGGUGAUAAAGUGCCUGAGAGCUGCCGAAAACCCUUCGCCAAUAAAUUCAAAGGGAAAGGCCAUUUCUCAUGCCUUGGAAGGGGAGCUGAGGGAUGCUGGAAGGCAGAGAAGACUGAAACGGCGCGUCGCAUGGCAGCGUGGCAGGAGGCACAGGAGCAAAUUUUCUGGAGAAGCACCUGGAUGCCAGAGGAGGCCAGAGAAAUGCUUUGUGUCUUCCGCUGCAACCGCAACCAGCUCCAAAAAUAAUCUGCUUUGGUGUCUGGUGGGAAUAUUUGGAGCAUCAGGGCUUGGUCUGCGGCUUCUCAUAGAAAUCAGCAGGAAUUUUGUCGCAUCCUUCUCUGGCCCAGCUCUGCUCCCGUGGCUGGCAGCCCCUGCUAAGGAAAAGCAGGGUUUGCUGCGGAAGGGUUUUCAUUGAGGCGCUGAUGAUAUGGCAGUGACUACACGACUUGUGGGUGUUCAGGGUCAGAAGAAGUUGCAGCCGCCCCUUCUCAGGAGGAAAGACAAGCAGAAGCUGAAACACCCAAGCUGCAAUCAGUGGCAGAACAUCACUCCAGGAAGCAUCAUGCCUCUUCAGUGGGUGUUGGCUUUCUAAGGCACCUCAAAUACUCUGCCAGGGUAAUUAGUAGUGAUCUAAAUCAGACAUCACUAUAUACACGUCUGUCUACAAUGGUGACAUAUUUCAUCAUGCACCUGCAGUCAACAGCAAUUUUGAGGUGGAUACACUCCCUAGCCCACAGUAGUCGCCUGCCUUGUGCUCGUUGUCACCCUCUGCGCGGGCGGGAGGUGUUUGUCCUGACGAUCAGUCCUUUGGAUUCCUGCUCAGGGCAAAGCUUGGGCUCCAUGGCCCAGCACUCCCAAAGCUGAGAUUGCCCUUCAUUUGUCUGCCUGGUAUCUGCAAGAAGUCCUUGCUGUUUGCAGAGGGACCAUCACUUUGCACAGCUCCCAACGUUGUCUCCAUGUCGUUCUGGGAGUCCCAGGCUUGCUAUGGGCAGUGAAUGAAAGGUGAAGGACAAAGCUGGGGGGAGAUGUGCUUUAGUUUAGCUGGGACAAGUCAGGCACUGCCUCUGCCAAGGGAAAGAGCAUGUUUUGAUCCCACUGUGGUUUUAUUUGUUCUGAAGGAAAAAAUUGAGUAGUUUAUCAGGUGCAGCACAGACGUUUCACUCUCAGCCCAGUGGCUAGGUAGACACCUCCCAGUCAAACCCUUAAGUUUCCCACAAGAAGGCUGGAAAACAGGGGGUGUAGUGUUGGUUUUCACUGAGAAACAUUAAUAACAUGCAGCAUGGACUCUGCCUUUUCUCUGCCUACCCUGUAAAAUGCCGCUCGUCGGGCUGUGGCAUAGGUGUAGCAACAGUCAGCCAGGUCUAGACACCGCCUCAUGCCCCAAGCGGCCAGGCUGAGGUCAUGUCUCCGUUCACUUUAUUUUAUUCAUUUGUAAUUUAAUUCUUUGCUUUCCCAAAAGGCUUGUAAUAUGGGAUGGAAGGAGGGGAAAAAAAAAAAUAUUAACCACUGGAGUUUUGCAGCUCCUUCCUUGCAGUCAGCAGGAGCCCUUUCGGAAGCCAGGAAGGAGCCAAGAGGUGUGUGGGUGCCUCUCACCCCUUUGUGGUGACACCCAGGGAUGGUCUGGGGGCCUCUUGAGGUCCAUGGGAGCGUGCAGGUGGAGAGCACCCAUGGGUGGGUUGGUGGUCUGGGGUACCCAGCUGUGGAGGCAGCAGAGCCAGCGUGGAGACCAUGGCCUUUGGCUCUCUCCUCACCUGGGCGGGCAGAAGAGAAACACCUCGUCAGGGAAGCACGAAAUGGCAUCAGGGGAAAGGAAAGGGUGCAAGACAAUAGGCUUAUACGUUCUCCAGGGCAGAGAAAGGUGGGAGAGGCAGAGCAAGGAGACAUAGGGAGGAGACGCCGGCACUAGGCGGAGGGGAAGGGUGGAAGCCCUCCUUCCCCAGAAGGGAGCUAUGGAGACACCAGUGCUGCGGAGCCAGCAGUCAGGGCAGGACCAGGGGUGUGGGUGAGAGGGAGGGAGACGCAGACCGGCGGUACCUGUUUUGUGCUGCUUCACCUGUGACUGCUCGUGCAACUCUUCAGGCCUGCCUUUGUGCUUCAGUUUUUUCAUCAGCCCCAAGAUCUCAAUGUAAACUUGCUCUUCUUGCCCUGGCAAGGGCCAGCCCUCCUAGCUCCGUGCCCUCUGUGCCAGCCAUGCUCCAUCUCCUCCCCCAGAAAGCUCACUUCUCUCUGCCAGCCCCUGAUGGCUGUGCACAGCAGAAGCACCUGUGGGCUUCAUCCAGGCAGCCUUUCCCUCCUGUUCCCCCUUGGAUGAAACGUGGGCACCUGCAGACAGUUGUGUGAUUUAGAUCAGCCUCCAAUAUUGUCACAUUUCCAGGGCGACUGUGGCUUUCAAGCUGCUUCUAGGAGGUGGAUGAAUGUGUGCAAUGUACCCUGUGGAGCAUCUGAGCUUUGGACAGGUGAAUGGUUUCUGAGAAAGUGGAAUGGGACAAUCCUGCCCUUGGUGGUGCCUUGUGUUGGUAGGCUCUUCUAGGCUUGAAGCUUUGAGACAUGACAUCAAGGUGCAAAAUUACAUGCAUGUUUGUGGUAAAUGUAUUCAAAGCAAUCGGAGAUAUCAGAAAGAAGGACUUAGAUGCCCUUGUCUUCCAGAAGGGAGCUGGCAUUUGAUGGAGGCCCAGACAAUCUCCUUUGAAACAGUAUGGGGGGAGUUUACAGGGGGAAUAUGGGAUUUGCGUUAUUUUGGUGUCCUGUUCUCUGUUGCAUGUUCCCAGCAGGGAGUGUGCUUGCCUGCAGGGCUGGUGGAUCAGAUUUAUCCACAUACCUCCUCUCUUGUGUUUCAGUUGCUUUGGCAGCUCUCUAACUCCUGGCCGUGGUGGGACACCACUGCGGAUGGGACACACAGCCCCAAGGAAUUUCACAGGCGUAAUGUCUCUCAGGACAGAGGAUGGGCAUGUCUGGGCACUGGAAAAAGGCGGUCAGUGGGAAGGUGGUGAUGUCCCUUGUGUGAGCCAGGAAGGCUGCCAGCUCUGUCGAACCAGCAGGAGCCAGGUGGGGGAUGAUGGACUGGUGGGGGUCCCUGGCCCCCAGCCAGCUGAGGCCUCGCCUUGUCACAUCACAGAGCAUCACUUGCAGGCAAGACCAGCUGAUAAUCUUCUGCAGCCCUGAGGGCACCCAGACCCGUAUAGAGAUGGGUGCCAACACACCCACUUACCAGGCAGGAGACGCUGACCUGCCACAAUGUCCUGAGCUGUAGCUUUCUUCAACAGAAUCACAGGAAAUCACUUUCCUCUCCCAAAUAUAACCCUGUGAGCCCAGGGAGACGUAAUGCUGGCAGGCGUGCUGCCCAGCUCCUAGCCCGCCUGGCCACCAGGAUGACUGCCAUGGGGGUGAUAACUCACCUUGUCUCUCAGGGGUGGCUCAGAUUACAGCCAAAAAAAAAAAGAUUAUUUUUGUCUGCUCUGUUGGUCUCCAGGCCCAACAAUUUUAUGUGAUGUGUUACCUGCUAGGCACUCUCGUAUGACUCAAGACCACAAAAAUAAUAAAAAAAACCUAAUGGCGAAGCUGGCCCA
rnacentral:lncRNA from 1 species